rnacentral:rRNA from 1 species
UGGGGAAUAUUGGACAAUGGGCGCAAGCCUGAUCCAGCCAUGCCGCGUGAGUGAAGAAGGCCUUCGGGUUGUAAAGCUCUUUUACCAGGGACGAUAAUGACGGUACCUGGAGAAUAAGCCCCGGCAAACUUCGUGCCAGCAGCCGCGGUAAUACGAAGGGGGCUAGCGUUGUUCGGAAUUACUGGGCGUAAAGCGCACGUAGGCGGAUUGUUAAGUCAGAGGUGACAUCCCGGAGCUCAACUUCGGAACUGCCUUUGAUACUGGCAAUCUAGAGUCCGGAAGAGGUUAGUGGAAUUCCCAGUGUAGAGGUGAAAUUCGUAGAUAUUGGGAAGAACACCAGUGGCGAAGGCGGCUAACUGGUCCGGUACUGACGCUGAGGUGCGAAAGCGUGGGGAGCAAACAGGAUUAGAUACCCUUGUAGUCCCUGAGCGGGCUGGCAAGGCGCAU